GAUGAACGCUAGCGGGAGGCUUAACACAUGCAAGUCGAGGGGUAAAUGGUAGCAAUACUAUGAGACCGGCGGACGGGUGCGUAACGCGUAUGCAACAUACCUUGUGUAGGGGGAUAGCCCGUGGAAACGCGGAUUAAUAUUCCAUAGUCCAGCUAUAUCGCAUGGUAUAGUUGGUAAAGAUUUAUCGGCACAAGUUUGGCAUGCGUCUGAUUAGCUUGUUGGUAGGGUAACGGCCUACCAAGGCUACGAUCAGUAGGGGUUCUGAGAGGAUUAACCCCCACACUGGUACUGAGACACGGACCAGACUCCUACGGGAGGCAGCAGUGAGGAAUAUUGGUCAAUGGGCGGAAGCCUGAACCAGCCAUCCCGCGUGAAGGAAGACAGCCUUACGGGUUGUAAACUUCUUUUCUGUCAGAAGAAUAAGCUUGUCGAGACGAGUGAUGCCGGUAUGACAGGAAUAAGCAUCGGCUAACUCCGUG
rnacentral:rRNA from 1 species